GUAUGGGUUGGGUGGAGAUGGGGGUCUUGAUCCCUGGGCUUGGUCUCUGGGUGAGCACCACCUGGCCCCUUCUGACUCCCUAGGGCAGGGGAAGUGAGAAAGAAGGAAAGAGAAGGAGCACCUAUCACAUGCCAGGAGCUUUACAUACAUUAGCACAUUUUCUCCCCGCCCCGCACCCCUCAAGCCCGCAGGGAGGAUUAUUAUCCUCAUUUUACAGGUGACAGAAACAAAGUUCAGAGAGGUUAAAUAUCUCACUCAGGCCCACACAGCCCCCAAACUGUGGAGCUGGGAUUCAAACCCAGGGCUGCCUAAUUGCCAGCAAGGCUCGUGCGCUCUGGGACGGGGUGAGUGGCCCACUUUCCAGAGGCCCCAGGACUAGGGCAUUCCCAGGCACGCUCCAUGUGUGCAUCUGGCCUCUGGGGGCCCAGGCCUCCCAACUCUCACAAACACCCUUCAGACGUUUCCGGAUACUUCCCACCCCUGCUCUGGGGUCUUUGGGAAAACCGGGUUGGCUUUGAAGGGGCCCCCCCAGGCCCAUCAGCAUUUCUACUAUUUCACACUUUCCCUUCAGGAUCAUCAGAUGAGGAACAGCUGGGCCCGCAGAUUUAUUAGGGUUUUGCAAGUGAUUCCAUCCGCUCUUCCAGCUAAACUCCACCCCACUCCCAUUAGCAGCCUCUGGAAAGCAAAGGGAGUUCCUGUCUUGGUGCCCCAAACCUCUUAGCUGGGGUGAGUUUUGCCUCUCCCACUCCUCACAGCAAUCGGGAUCCAGCCAUACAUCUCCCCAGAAACACCAGAGACAAAGAGGAAGAAAAAGAGAGAGAAGAGUGAGACAGAGAAAGAGAUCCGGUUUGUCCGGACCCUUAAUCGACUAGAAGUGGCCGUCAUCUUGGAUACACACGAGGGAAGCUCCAGCUAGCCUGGACUGGAAACAGUACCGCAUUUUCAAUACUCAGACAUUUCCUUCUGAGGGGAGGGUCUGGUGUUGGGGCUCACGCUCUCCUUGGACUGAAUCCCCAGAAACCUAAUGCAAGGCUUCACACCGUCUUUUUGUAAUCAUGCUCACCACUUGGUGUUGGAAGGAAUUUGAAUGUAUUGAAGAGUCAGCCAUUCUGUGCCGUGAAAUAGGAAAACUCCAGCAACCUAAAACUCUCGAGGCCCCGAGGCUUUCAGGGAGUUCUAGUGUCACCCUCCCCUGGGGCCAGCUUGCCAUGGGGCUGUGCACACAGUAGGCUUUCAUGAGCACUCUUGCCCUCUCCUCCCUCCUGGGGUAGGCCCCAAGCACUUAAGGUUAUUAUAACAGGUCAAGUCUCACUCACCAAUUUGUUUAACCUCACACCAUGUUGGAUAUAAAUUCCUUAAUCUAAAUAACGGGCACUCAUUUUCCCCCUGCCCUGAAACAACAGGCAUUUCAUUCACUCCAGCUGGCAGUGCCUGGCAGACUGGCUAACUGGCUCUUAUGUAUGGGCUGAAACGUGCUGCGGCUUGUCCCUGCUCCAUCUCUCCUCCUCCUCAGCUUUUCUACAAGCCACAUGCAAAAAUCUGCCCCAUUACUCGAUUAUCGCAUUUCAUAUGAAAUUAGGUAUUGCAGGUCUCAUGUUAUUCACUUAGCUUGGCGCAGACCGAGGGCAUGACUCAGAGGCACUCCCAGUUUCACCUCCUUCCAGCCAUGGCUCCUCCUUUAUCCUGACCCCUGGGACACCCUGUCCUGCCAGGACACCCGUCUUCCUCCUGAGGCUUCUGUUAAACCACACUCUCAGGCCCCUUAGCAGGACAGAGCAUUUCCGACCAGCUUCAAUUCCACCCUUUUGAACCCUGACCCGCCAGUGUCUCCUGGAAGUACCCAGAUGAAUGAUCUCCAUUUGCCUCCCUCAUGGUGUGGCCCGCAGCGUUGUGGACCAGCCCUGUGCUUACCUCGGCCCUGGCGGCUUUUUCAUUCUUCUCCCUGUCACUAGACUAAUGGUUUCUCUAAAAAGCUCCAACCCUCCAGGCUGCAGUGUCAGCAGCUCUGGGUGGCCCAGCACACACUUCCUCCAGGUACACGUGAGCGUGCUAAAAAUCCUGGUCCCACCCACACAUCCUGGUCUGGUAGCUUCCCCCGUCCCACUUUGCAGCCUUCACAUUCUCAACUCCCACGUUUACAUUUCAUCAGAGUCAACCUCAGGCUUUCUGUGAUCCCCUCAUCAAUCCGCAGUGAU
ensembl:lncRNA